UUCUGACUCCAAGCUAUUUUU
rnacentral:piRNA from 1 species